GCCAUCCCUGCCCAGAGACCGUGGGGGAAUGGGCAGACAAGGAGAGCGUCCCUGGGGCUGGGGCAGCACAACUCAGAGGCACCAGCGGCUCCAGCUGGGAAAUGGAAUGUGGAAUGUCGCUGGGAAAGCCCUGCCUGGGCUGUGCCAAGCAGGACAGACAAGCCCUGACUCCCAUCCCUGAAACAAAUCUCUCACUGAGACAUUUGAAGUGAAUUAGAAUUGUUUGUGUACUGUGAGUUGGACUCCCUGGAGAAAUACCAACAGGAGAUCCUCAGGAGCUCAAAACAACAAAACAGCCUUUACUGGGAGGAUUUACAUUUUGAAAGGACUGACACCUGACCUGCCAGAGCACAGAAACAGAAGAAGAAGAAACAGUAGAGAGAAAGACAAAAAAGAUACGGAGAAACAUACACACAGCUACCAACUCCUGGAUUUCAGUGGUGUUCAGAUGGAAAUUCCAAGAAGAGGUGCCUGGAGGAGAAGGAGAGCUCUUUUCAAUUGGGAAGGAAGGCACAGAGCCCCAUCAUUUGAAUAGGAGAUGAGAUGAGACCCUCAACAUGCCAAGGUGAUUUAUCAGGCAGCCCCUGGGAGGCCAAACCAGCCAG